AUACGGAGGGUGCGAGCGUUAAUCGGAAUUACUGGGCGUAAAGGGUGCGUAGGCGGCUUGAUAAGUCGGAUGUGGAAGCCCCGGGCUUAACCUGGGAAUUGCAUUCGAUACUGUCAGGCUAGAGUAUGUCAGAGGUUGGCGGAAUUCCUGGUGUAGCGGUGAAAUGCGUAGAUAUCAGGAGGAACACCAGUGGCGAAGGCGGCUAACUGGGGCAAUACUGACGCUGAGGCACGAAAGCGUGGGGAGCAAACAGGAUUAGAAACCCUAGUAGUCC
rnacentral:rRNA from 1 species